AAUGUCUAUUUAACCAAAAUGAACCAAAUUUGAAAAAAAAACAAUUUGAACCAAAAAAAGCAAACUAAAAUUAUCAUAAAUAUUAAUUUAACUAAAACUAAUUCCAAUCGUAAUAAUUUGCUUCAAAUUGAGCGUGAUAUUCAAGCAACGAAAAUUAAUCGCCUCUAUACUGGCAUUGAAAACUGGUGUAAAUGGGGAAAAUGUGCAUCAAUGCCGUAUCAAAAAGAGUGUUUGUGUUGCACUGAAAUUAAAGAAAUAAUGAUCGGAAUCGGAACAGAUCAGAAGUGUAUAAUGGAACAUGAAGGAUUCCUAACUUGAUGCAUUCUUCCGUAUCCACUAUGGAUACGGAAUACGUUAAGUUUAAAAGAUAGAGAAGGAUCGUGGAUGCCAUCAACAUUUGAAGAAACGUCCAACAGAUCUUUUAGAUAUUCCGCUAACUGACAGUUUACUUGGUGGACCUAUAGUAAACUUGGGAAAUAUAAUAGGAAAAUUAUCCUGGCAUGUGUUGUUUGUGCAAUACGACAACGCUUUCCUCAAGAAAAUAGUAUAUGCACAAAUUUCAAUGAUGACGAAGAAAAAUCUGAAAUUCUGGAAGCUUGGGAGUAUAUUGAAGGGUUUUGACUAGAGCUGCAAAUCCUGGCUCGUGUUUAUA